GGCAGACGGGUGAGUAACAUGUAUGCAUCUUCCCUUUGGUGAGGAAUAACACGAGGAAACUUGUGCUAAUACCUCAUAAGUCUUUACGGAGAAAGCUUUAUGCGCCGAAGGAUGAGCCUGCACUUGAUUAGUUUGUUGGUAGGGUAAUGGCCUACCAAGACUGUGAUCAAUAGCUGAUCUGAGAGGAUGAUCAGCCACAUUGGGACUGAGACACGGCCCAAACUCCUACGGGAGGCAGCAGUAGGGAAUAUUGCACAAUGGAGGAAACUCUGAUGCAGCGAUGCCGCGUGAGUGAAGAAGGCCUUUGGGUUGUAAAGCUCUUUCGUCGGGGAAGAAAAUGACUGUACCCGAAUAAGAAGGUCCGGCUAACUUCGUGCCAGCAGCCGCGGUAAUACGAAGGGACCUAUCGUAGUUCGGAAUUACUGGGCUUAAAGAGUUCGUAGGUGGUUAAAAAAGUUGGUUGUGAAAUCCCGAAGCUUAACUUCUGAACUGCAAUCAAAACUUUUUAGCUAGAGUUUGAUAGAGGAAAGCAUAAUUUCUAGUGUAGAGGUGAAAUUCGUAGAUAUUAGAAAGAAUACCGAUUGCUAAGGCAGCUUUCUGGAUCAUUACUGACACUGAGGAACUAAAUGCUUGGGUAGCGAGGAGGAUUAGAUACCCUC
rnacentral:rRNA from 1 species